rnacentral:hammerhead_ribozyme from 1 species
AUCCAGCUGACGAGUCCCAGAAUAGGACGAAACGCGCGUCCUGGAU